GAAUAUAUGGACUUCACAUUUUUAAAUAAUAUUUGUAGGAAUUCUCAAGUCUCAUUUGCAUAGUCCACAAUCUCAUAGUGUUGUCAUAUAUGUCUCCACAUUUCUAGACAGACGCAUUGCCCAUCCUGGACCUGCCUGGGCCAUGGUAAGAGAGCCCUAUCACUGCGAGCCAUUCUCAUCUUCAGGUUCCCAAAUACAACAGUCCAUCCAGCCCUGAGGAAGAUCUGUCUUGAACACAGCACUCUUUAUCUCCUUCACUUAAAACACACAAGGUAUCUUUUGUUCCUACAUGUUUUAAGGGUAUGGUAAAGUACAAAGAGCAAAAUAGAGGAUAGACAGAAGGAGAAAAGAACAUAGAUUUUUUGCAAAUGGGAAAGAGUCCAAAAGAUCAAAGACAAAGGUAAGAAGAUUUAAGAUGUGUCAUUUACAGGUACCAAAUAUCCACAAUAAAUAUAAACAUUAUAUGGCAUAAAUAUGAGCCAAGAAUAAUAAUAGCAAUAAGAAUGAAAAUAGGGAAAGGGGAUUUAGAGCUCAA
rnacentral:lncRNA from 1 species